GCUGUAGCUUAGUGGUCAAGCAUCUGCUUUACAUGCAGUAGAUCCCAGGCUCAAUCCCUGGCAUCUCCC